GAACCAGCUAUUUGGUGGAAUGUAAUCGUUUAACGACGUGCAUGUUCACAAAUUUGUGAUAUGUAUCAACUCUGUUGAAUAAAAUUCUGGGUAGAUGAUUGAUGAUGACAAAUAUCUAUUCACAUAUCUUGACCAAUGCUUGUGCCAGCAGUCGCGGCAACACAAGUAAGAUUAGUGUUAUUCAUCUUUAUUAGGUUUAAAGGGUACCUAGACGGCAAAAGCAACUUCUAAAAAGUAUAUCUUUGCUAGAGUUUUAUGUGAGAGGUAAAUAUUAGGACUAUUGGUGUAGAGAUGAAAUUCCUUGAUACUAAUAGAAUGUGUAACGGCGAAGACAACCCUCUAUGUAUAAACUGACGUUGAGGGACGAAGGCUUGGGGAGCAAACAGGAUUAGAUACCCUAGUAGUCCAGGCAGAAAAUCAUGAAUGUUAUAUGUUAGAUUAUAAAUUGGCGUAUAAAUGAAAGUGUAAGCAUUCCACCUCAAGAGUAAUGCGGCAACGCAGGAACUGAAAUCAUUAGACCGUUUCUGAAACCAGUAGUGAAGUAUGUUUUUUAAUUCGAUGACCCUCGAAAAACCUUACCACAAUUUGAAUGGUAUUUAAAUAGCUAUUAUUUUUUUUAUAUUGAUAGUUACUUGGAUAUAACAAGCGUUGCACGGCUGUCUAAAGCUAAUGUCGUGAGAUUUUGGUUAGAUCCAUUAAAUUAGCGUAAUCCCUUGCUUUAUUUACCAACAAUGAGGAUAGUGCUUGGUUGCGUCAGCAACUGGGAUAAUAGGAAGAAGACAAGUCAU
rnacentral:rRNA from 1 species